GAAGGAGCCUGGUGCUAGCAGAGGACUGGCCUUUUCCGAAUAUAUCUCACGUUCUCUGUCCUUUGGGGACUUCUCACUGCUUGGCAGAUAGAGCUGCACAUGUGGGAGAGGUAACAUCCCUGGAGACUUGGAAAAUGGAGACCAGCAUCCCCACACCGACCCUCAGGGCGGCUGAGGAAUUACCACAUGAGAAUGGAUACUGAAACGGGUGAUGUAAUUCUGAGCAUCCGUGUUUUGGAGGAAUUAUUCUUCCUCUAUUCUAUGUUGAUCAUGGAACUCUUCUCACAACCAGUGGGAGGCAUCUGGGCCAAGCUGAGGCAAUCAGCGUCUUCUUUCCGAAGUUCUCAUCCUGAGGGAGUAUACUGAGAAUGUGCAUGGCAUGGACCAUCUGCUUGGAGUCACAGCAGUCAUCUCUGAAUUACUGCUUUUCAUAGGCUUUGGGAGCAGGCAACCACACAGAGAAGAUCUUCAUCUAAAGACGGUGCAGGGGCUGGGGAUAUAGCUCAGUGGCAUAAGCACCUGCCUGGCAAGCACAAGGUCUUGAGUUCGAUCCCUGGUACCACAAAAAAGAAAAAAAGAUGGUGCGGCCCUGUGUCUGGGCAGGUCUGCUGAGUCAAGAGGCAAUCCUGAGCCAGGGAUGAAGGGCUUAUUGUGUUCUUAGAGUCUCUCCAUUAACGACUGUUGUUCUGCUCGAGCCUUAAACAAAAGCCCAGACCUCAGCUCUCUCCUCAGACUGUCUCAUCUUUUGGCCAUCUCCUGCUCUCUCUCUACACGCAAGUACCACCUUUAUGUUAACCACGUUUCUGUCUCAAAUCCUCUUUCUCCUGAGUACGGAUUUCAAAUAAUCUUAGGCACGGUGAUAAUACUAUAAUGAUGAUGAUAAUA